rnacentral:sRNA from 1 species
AAUUUGCGUUAGGGAUUGAAAUGGAAAUCCUUUUAUCACGCCAGUAGCGUGAUUAGAGAUUGAAAUGGAAAGCCCGACCAUGC